GAUGAACGCUAGCGGCAGGCCUAAUACAUGCAAGUCGAACGGGAUCCAGAUCAAAGCUUGCUUUGGUUUGGUGAGAGUGGCGUACGGGUGCGUAACGCGUGAGCAACCUACCCUUGUCAGGGGGAUAGCCCGGCGAAAGUCGGAUUAAUACCGCAUGACAUCAUUGAGAGGCAUCUUUCGAUGAUUAAAGAUUUAUCGGACAAGGAUGGGCUCGCGUGACAUUAGCUAGUUGGUAAGGUAACGGCUUACCAAGGCUACGAUGUCUAGGGGCUCUGAGAGGAGAAUCCCCCACACUGGUACUGAGACACGGACCAGACUCCUACGGGAGGCAGCAGUAAGGAAUAUUGAUCAAUGGACGGAAGUCUGAACCAGCCAUGCCGCGUGCAGGAAGACGGCCCUAUGGGUUGUAAACUGCUUUUAUACGGGAACAAACGUCGGUACGUGUACCGGUCUGAGUGUACCGUAAGAAUAAGGAUCGGCUAACUCCGUG
rnacentral:rRNA from 1 species